rnacentral:rRNA from 1 species
CCUACGGGGGGCAGCAGUAGGGAAUCUUCCACAAUGGGCGAAAGCCUGAUGGAGCAACGCCGCGUGGGUGAAGAAGGUCUUCGGAUCGUAAAACCCUGUUGUUAGAGAAGAAAGUGCGUGAGAGUAACUGUUCACGUGUCGACGGUAUCGAACCAGAAAGCCACGGCUAACUACGUGCCAGCAGCCGCGGUAAUACGUAGGUGGCAAGCGUUAUCCGGAUUUAUUGGGCGUAAAGGGAACGCAGGCGGUCUUUUAAGUCUGAUGUGAAAGCCUUCGGCUUAACCGGAGUAGUGCAUUGGAAACUGGGAGACUUGAGUGCAGAAGGGGAGAGUGGAACUCCAUGUGUAGCGGUGAAAUGCGUCGAUAUAUGGAAGAACCCCAGUGGCGAAGGCGGCUCUCUGGUCUGUAACUGACGCUGAGGUUCGAAAGCGUGGGUAGCAAACAGGAUUAGAUACCCGGGUAGUC